rnacentral:rRNA from 1 species
UACGGAGGGGGCUAGCGUUGUUCGGAAUUACUGGGCGUAAAGCGCGCGUAGGCGGACCUGCAAGUCGGGGGUGAAAGCCCGAGGCUCAACCUCGGAACUGCCUUCGAUACUGCGGGUCUCGAGUCCGGGAGAGGUGAGUGGAAUUCCUAGUGUAGAGGUGAAAUUCGUAGAUAUUAGGAAGAACACCAGUGGCGAAGGCGGCUCACUGGCCCGGUACUGACGCUGAGGAGCGAAAGCGUGGGGAGCGAACAGG